rnacentral:lncRNA from 1 species
GUUGGUCAGAGCCACACGGGGGCUGCGACGUGAGGGGAGGCGCUCAGCCUGGGGGCGCUGGUGACCAGCACGUCUUCUGCACAAACUCUGAGCCUUCUCGCCAACGCCUCAACCUCGGCCUUGGACUUGAACAAGCACUAACAUACUUUCUAACAGCUCAAGGCUGCGUUCCUGGGAUGACUCCCGUCCCCUUAAAGUGCUGCCUGGGAAGAACUCAAGGCUGCCAAGAGAAUUCACUGUUUGUUCCAGCCAACACCUGAUGACAGCCACCUGCCACCGCUGCCUGCCUCCCAGCCUCUGGGGGAGCGCAGCAGCCUGACUUUGGUGAGUACCGGGGAGCAAACCCCGAUGGGGUUCACAUGGACUGACCCGCCUUCCCUCCUCCUAUAAGUUUUCACUGCCCUGUCUCUGCUCAAGCCCCUGCUACCCUGCAGUCACCUCCGCACACAUGCAAGGGCUUCAGCUCUUUCCCCAGCUGGCAGCCGUUGCCAAAUAAAAUCCAUUCUCACUGCUUCAGCUAAUCUCUCAUGGUGGGAUGUGUGGUCAGGCAGGAUGUGUGGAUGAAGGGAUGCUGCACCAGGGCCUGGGCAGGCCCCAGCUCAUGCACAGGACACACGGAGUCCAAAGAACAGGAAGACGCUUGAUGAGGGCGGAAAAGCCAGUCUGGAAGGGAAUCGACCUGCUGAAGGAGCACAGUUGUUCUGGAGACCCAACGUGGGCACCGGGGCACUCUUCAAGGAGACAUCCCAUUGCGAACAUCAACGAAACAUCUGGCUAUGUUUGGAGAUCAGCUGCUAAAAAUACCUCCAAAUGCCGAGGCCAGUCACCCAUGUUGGGAGUGUGUCAGACUCUUUCAAUAACACCCUGGCUUGAAGCGUGCAUAUGACAACUCUUGAAAUUCAACCAAUGGUCCAAGAAUGAAGAGCCCAAGGGAAUCCAGGAGCUUCGCCUCUGGCGUCCCCAAGUGGAUGGCAUGCAGUUCCAAGAUGUGAUUGGUCUCCAGUGACCACUUUUUCCCCACUUCGAUGCCCAUAGGUCCUGCCUUAAAGUUCCCAUACGAUUUGAUGAUGUCUCCUGUGGUGGGCUGUGAGCUUCAUGGAAUUCUGGACUCAUGCUCAGCUAGGAUUCCACUGGCCAGUGAGCUUCUUACUACUAGGGUACUGUGUUUAGUACCUGACACACACCAUCCCGUUGAACUCCUCCUCAACCCAAAGGAUCAGGUGUUUGUGUUCCUUCCAUGUUACAGAUGAGAAAAUAGAGGGACCGAGAUUAAAGACUGUGAGUCAGUGGUGCAGCUGUCAUUGGAACGCAUCUCAGUCUGACUUCAGAGAAAAAUAUAUUGUGCAUGGCUUCCCCAUUUUUCCAUAAAUAUCAAUUAAGACAAGUUGGUUGAUGGCAUUGUUCAAAUCCUCUAAUACCCUUGUAAUUUCCUGUCUACUUGUCACAUUAAUUAUUAAGAGGACCUCUGACUGUAAUUAUAGAUUUG